rnacentral:misc_RNA from 1 species
GGCAAAGUUGAAAUCAGCCAUAUGUGCCAUAUUCUUGAAGCAACCUAAUUCUUGUGAUCUGGAGAAGCUUUAUCAGGCUGUUAAUGAUCUUUGCUUGCACAAAAUGGGCGGAAACCUUUAUCGGCGGAUCGAAAAGGAGUGUGAAGUACACAUAUCUGCAGCAUUACAGUCUUUGGUUGGGCAAAGCCCUGAUUUGGUGGUUUUCUUGG